GACGAACGCUGGCGGCGUGCUUAACACAUGCAAGUCGAACGGAAAGGCCCCUUUGGGGGUACUCGAGUGGCGAACGGGUGCGUAACACGUGAGUAACCUGCCCUUGACUUCGGGAUAACUUCAGGAAACUGGGGCUAAUACCGGAUAGGAAUCCUUGCUGCAUGGUGGGGGUUGGAAAGCUUCGGCGGUUUUGGAUGGACUCGCGGCUUAUCAGCUUGUUGGUGGGGUAGUGGCUUACCAAGGCUUUGACGGGUAGCCGGCCUGAGAGGGCGACCGGCCACAGUGGGACUGAGAUACGGCCCAGACUCCUACGGGAGGCAGCAGUGGGGAAUAUUGCACAAUGGGCGGAAGCCUGAUGCAGCAACGCCGCGUGCGGGAUGACGGCCUUCGGGUUGGAAACCGCUUUCAGCAGGGGCGAAGCUUGUGGUGACGGUACCUGCAGAAGAAGCACCGGCUAACUACGUG
rnacentral:rRNA from 1 species